UACGUAGGGUGCGAGCGUUGUCCGGAAUUACUGGGCGUAAAGAGCUCGUAGGUGGCCUGCUAAGCGUGCGGUGAAAGCUCGGGGCUCAACCCCGAGUCGGCCGUGCGAACUGGUGGGCUUGAGCACUGUAGAGGCAGGCGGAAUUCCGGGUGUAGCGGUGGAAUGCGUAGAGAUCCGGAAGAACACCGGUGGCGAAGGCGGCCUGCUGGGCAGUAGCUGACACUGAGGCGCGACAGCGUGGGGAGCAAACAGG
rnacentral:rRNA from 1 species